UGAGGAAUAUUGGUCAAUGGGCGAGAGCCUGAACCAGCCAAAUCGCGUGAAGGAAGACUGCCUUAUGGGUUGUAAACUUCUUUUAUACAGGAAUAAAAAAGGGGACGUGUCCCUUAUUGCAUGUACUGUAUGAAUAAGCAUCGGCUAACUCCGUGCCAGCAGCCGCGGUAAUACGGAGGAUGCGAGCGUUAUCCGGAUUUAUUGGGUUUAAAGGGUGCGCAGGCGGGCUUUUAAGUCAGCGGUGAAAUCUCGGGGCUUAACUCCGAAACUGCCGUUGAAACUGGGAGUCUUGAGUAUGGAUGAAGUAGGCGGAAUUCGUUGUGUAGCGGUGACAUGCUUAGAUAUAACGAGGAACUCCGAUUGCGUAGGCAGCUUACUAAGCCAUAACUGACGCUCAAGCACGAAAGCGUGGGGAUCAAAACAGGAUUAGAUACCCUGGUAGUCCACGCCGUAAACGAUGAUUACUAGUUGUAUGCGAUAUACCGUAUGUGACUAAGCGAAAAGCGAUAAGUAAUCCACCUGGGGAGUACGCCGGCAACGGUAAACUCAAAUGAAUUGACGGGGUCAUAGCUGUUUCCUG
rnacentral:rRNA from 1 species